AAGUAUGUAGACGUGUUUUUCUGAUUUCUGAUUCUAAUAUAUUUAUCUAUUUGUAUCGUGUUUAAUAUUGUGAAAAUAAAUAAAAUUAACUUCAAACUUCAAUGAUUUCGAAGUUUUCACUUAAAUGGUUUCAAGUUAGGAGAUAUCAUGCGGGUUUCCGGGUGAAGUUUAUGGAAGCCAAAAUCAAGGGAAGAAGGUGCGAAUAUGGACUACUUUUAUUUCUACAUUAAAAAUGUAAAAAUCCCAUGAACAAAAGUUGAAAAUGGUAGCACAUAAAUCUAAGAUAAUGUAUCAGUGACUGUUUAAGGUAAAAAUUCAACCAGUUUGACGCAAUGCUAAUUUUACAAAAAGUUAUUAAAAACGUGGUUUGGGAAGAUGGGGUGGUAGUAUGGAUCAGAGUUGAAAAGGUAAGAAAGAAGUAAUGUAUCGUCGAAAUCUCCCCAACAUGGAGAAAUCCCGUAGUUCAAAUAAAUAACUGAUAUUAUUAUAAA